GCCUGGGUGGCUUAGUCAGUUAAGCGUCUGACUUCCACUCAGGUCAUGAUCUCAUGGUUCGUGAGUUCAAGCCCAGCAUCGGGCU
rnacentral:tRNA from 1 species